AAUCUCUAAAGCUACUUUCAGCACCAACUGGGGCAGAGCUCAAAGUUGCUCACAGCUUGACCCUAUUCACACUGAAAACUACAAUAGUUUUCAAACCAGAAAAGAAAACAGCCAGGUGGUCUGAAGAAGGGGUUGAAAGUGCUUUUAUUCACAUGAUACUUUUUUUUUUGGUACCAGGGAUCAAACUCGGGACCUUGCACUUGCGAGGCAGGCGGCAGCACCACUGAGGGAUCGAACUCAGGACCCUGCACUUGCAAGGCAGUCUCGGUGCCACUGAGCUAAAUCCCAGGCCUAACAAACCAAUUUUAUGAGUUCUGAGGAUCGAACCCAGGGCUGUGGCUGGAACUCGCCGUCUUUUUACUUCAGCCUCCUAGAGUGCUGGGAUCACAGGUGUGCACCACCAUACCAGGCAGAAACCAGGAUCCUGCAUGUGCUGGGUGAAGAGGAACCUAGGAACAUGAGGGCAUGAAGCAGUUCAAGGAAUCUGGCCUGGGGCAGGCUCCAUAAAUAGAUACCAUGCAGCAGCCUUGGAGAAAUUUUGUCAUAAGGAUGUGACACACUCAGGGUACAAGCAUUACCAUAUAAACGGCAGACUCUGUUCUGAUUGUGACUCUGAAGAUUACUUGUUAAUUCGCCAAUGCUUUUGGACCCUGCAUGCCUCACCUCCUGACA
rnacentral:lncRNA from 1 species